GUGGGGAAUAUUGGGCAAUGGGCGAAAGCCUGACCCAGCAACGCCGCGUGAAGGAAGAAGGUUUUCGGAUCGUAAACUUCUAUCCUUGGUGAAGAUAAUGACGGUAGCCAAGAAGGAAGCCCCGGCUAACUACGUGUCAGCAGCCGCGGUAAUACGUAGGGGGCAAGCGUUGUCCGGAAUGAUUGGGCGUAAAGGGCGCGUAGGCGGCCCGGUAAGUCUGAAGUGAAAGUCCUGCUUUUAAGGUGGGAAUUGCUUUGGAUACUGUCGGGCUUGAGUGCAGGAGAGGUAAGUGGAAUUCCCGGUGUAGCGGUGAAAUGCGUAGAGAUCGGGAGGAACACCAGUGGCGAAGGCGACUUACUGGACUGUAACUGACGCUGAGGCGCGAAAGUGUGGGGAGCAAACAGGAUUAGAUACCCUUGUAGUCC
rnacentral:rRNA from 1 species